rnacentral:rRNA from 1 species
UACGUAGGGUGCGAGCGUUAAUCGGAAUUACUGGGCGUAAAGCGUGCGCAGGCGGUUCGUUGUGUCGGCGGUGAAAGCCCCGGGCUUAACCUGGGAAUGGCCGUCGAAACUGGCGAACUGGAGUGUGGCAGAGGGGGGUGGGAUUCCGCGUGUAGCAGUGAAAUGCGUAGAGAUGCGGAGGAACACCGAUGGCGAAGGCAGCCCCCUGGGCUGACACUGACGCUCAGGCACGAAAGCGUGGGGAGCAAACAGG